rnacentral:rRNA from 1 species
AGAGUUUGAUCCUGGCUCAGAUUGAACGCUGGCGGAAUGCUUUACACAUGCAAGUCGAACGAUGAACCUUAGCUUGCUAAGGGGAUUAGUGGCGAACGGGUGAGUAAUAUAUCGGAACGUGCCUUGUAAUGGGGGAUAACUAGUCGAAAGAUUAGCUAAUACCGCAUACGCCCUGAGGGGGAAAGUAGGGGAUCUUCGGACCUUACGUUAUAAGAGCGGCCGAUAUCUGAUUAGCUAGUUGGUGGGGUAAUGGCCUACCAAGGCGACGAUCAGUAGCUGGUCUGAGAGGACGACCAGCCACACUGGAACUGAGACACGGUCCAGACUCCUACGGGAGGCAGCAGUGGGGAAUUUUGGACAAUGGGCGCAAGCCUGAUCCAGCCAUUCCGCGUGAGUGAAGAAGGCCUUCGGGUUGUAAAGCUCUUUCGCAAGGGAAGAAAACUUACUUUCUAAUAAAGAGUGAGGCUGACGGUACCUUGAUAAGAAGCACCGGCUAACUACGUGCCAGCAGCCGCGGUAAUACGUAGGGUGCGAGCGUUAAUCGGAAUUACUGGGCGUAAAGCGUGCGCAGGCGGUUUGGCAAGUCAGAUGUGAAAUCCCCGAGCUCAACUUGGGAACUGCGUUUGAAACUGCCAGACUAGAAUAUGUCAGAGGGGGGUAGAAUUCCACGUGUAGCAGUGAAAUGCGUAGAGAUGUGGAGGAAUACCAAUGGCGAAGGCAGCCCCCUGGGAUAAUAUUGACGCUCAUGCACGAAAGCGUGGGGAGCAAACAGAAGUAGAUACCCUGGUAGUCCACGCCCUAAA